rnacentral:rRNA from 1 species
GAUUAACGCUGGCGGCGUGCCUAACACAUGCAAGUCGAACGAUGAAACUUAAAUGAUUCCUUCAGUUUGAUUGUAAUUAACUUAGUGGUGAACGGUUGAGUAACGCGUGUGUACCCGGCCUUACCCAAGGGGAUAGCCUCUUGAUACGGCAUAUAAUACCCUAUGACACUAUCUUAUCGCAUGAAAAGAUAGUCAAAGUGUCUUAGCGGUGUACGCUGGACUUGCGUCUGAUUAUGUAGUUGGUGAGAUACCAGCCCACCAAGGCAACGCUCAGUAGCCGGAUUGAGAGAGUGCACGGACACAUUGGGGAUGCGGCACGGGCCAGACUCCGGCGGGAGGCAGCAGUGGGGAAGAUUGCACACGCGGGGCAACACAAGUGCAGCGGCGCGGCGAGAUUUGGAAGGCGUUCGGGUUGUAAAAAUCUUUUGAAUAGGAAGAAAAUGACAGUACUAUACGAAUAAGGGCCGGCUAACUACGUG